UACGAAGGGGGGCUAGCGUUGCUCGGAAUCACUGGGCGUAAAGGGCGCGUAGGCGGCUGAUCAAGUCGAGGGUGAAAGCCCGUGGCUCAACCACGGAAUGGCCUUCGAUACUGGUUGGCUUGAGACCGGAAGAGGACAGCGGAACUGCGAGUGUAGAGGUGAAAUUCGUAGAUAUUCGCAAGAACACCAGUGGCGAAGGCGGCUGUCUGGUCCGGUUCUGACGCUGAGGCGCGAAAGCGUGGGGAGCAAACAGG
rnacentral:rRNA from 1 species